UCAGUAUUUGGGUCAAUCUUCGGACUUUAUCCAGUUCCGACAAAGAGCCAUUAAUGUCCAUUGUCAAUAAAAUAGUACUAGUAUUUAGUCCUCUCAGGGAUCGAGCGGAUCAAACCUACCUAAGGCUUGAAGUUAUAUGAGUUUCCUUGGGUUUUCCAUCCUCCCACCCAGGAACUAUUUCUGAUUUUAUACGAGUAUAUUACUCUAGCCGCGCUCGCAGGAUUAGCGCUUAAACAGCCAAUUUUGAAAAUUUCAUCAGCGCCUAAUAUAUCCCAUUUGCAUCGCACCAAGAUGAGAUUGAUGAAAAUUCCAUAUUGCAAACUAAGAUAGAUCUGUCUAAAUACCCGCG
rnacentral:sRNA from 1 species